UACAGAGGGGCAAGCGUGUUCGGAAUUACUGGGCGUAAAGGGCGCGUAGGCGGCCUUCUAAGUCGAGCGUGAAAUCCCCGGGCUCAACCCGGGAACUGCGUCCGAUACUGGAAGGCUUGAAUCCGGGAGAGGGAUGCGGAAUUCCAGGUGUAGCGGUGAAAUGCGUAGAUAUCUGGAGGAACACCGGUGGUGUAGGCGGCUCUCUGGACCGUAACUGACGCUGAGGCACGAAAGCGUGGGUAGCAAACAGG
rnacentral:rRNA from 1 species